AGAGUUGAUCAGUGGCUCAGGACGAACGCUGGCGGCGUGCCUAACACAUGCAAGUCGAACGGACUGAUUCCCUUCGGGGAAGAAAGUUAGUGGCGGACGGGUGAGUAACGCGUGAGCAACCUGCCUUUCAGAGGGGGAUAACGUUUGGAAACGAACGCUAAUACCGCAUAACGCUGCGAAGUCGCAUGGCUUUGCAGCCAAAGGAGCAAUCCGCUGAAAGAUGGGCUCGCGUCCGAUUAGAUAGUUGGCAGGGUAACGGCCUACCAAGUCGACGAUCGGUAGCCGGACUGAGAGGUUGAUCGGCCACAUUGGGACUGAGACACGGCCCAGACUCCUACGGGAGGCAGCAGUGGGGAUAUUGCACAAUGGGCGCAAGCCUGAAUGCAGCAACGCCGCGUGAGGGAAGAAGGUUUUCGGAUUGUAAACCUCUGUCCUUGGUGACGAAGAAAGUGACGGUAGCCGAGGAGGAAGCCACGGCUAACUACGUGCCAGCCGCUGC
rnacentral:rRNA from 1 species